rnacentral:tRNA from 2 species
AUUUUUCUAGUAUAAACAGUACAAUUGACUUCCAAUCAAAAAGCUUGAUUAAUAAUCAAGAAAAAUA